rnacentral:rRNA from 1 species
AACGAACGCUGGCGGCAUGCCUAACACAUGCAAGUCGAACGAGACCUUCGGGUCUAGUGGCGCACGGGUGCGUAACGCGUGGGAACCUGCCUUUAGGUUCGGAAUAACUCCCCGAAAGGGGUGCUAAUACCGGAUAAUGUCUUCGGACCAAAGAUUUAUCGCCUUUUGAUGGGCCCGCGUAGGGUUAGCUAGUUGGUGGGGUAAAGGCCUACCAAGGCGACGAUCCUUAGCUGGUCUGAGAGGAUGAUCAGCCACACUGGGACUGAGACACGGCCCAGACUCCGACGGGAGGCAGCAGUGGGGAAUAUUGGACAAUGGGCGAAAGCUUGAUCCAGCAAUGCCGCGUGAGUGAUGAAGGCCUUAGGGUUGUAAAGCUCUUUUACCAGGGAUGAUAAUGACAGUACCUGGAGAAUAAGCUCCGGCUAACUCCGUGCCAGCCGCCGCCGUAACAC